CCCCUGUGGCUCCUCUGCCGCCCCUCCGGCUUCACCUUCGGCGACUACACCAUGUACUGGGUGCGCCAGAGCCCCGGGAAGGGGCUGGAAUACGUUGCUGGGAUCAACUAUAAUGGUCGUUACACCGAGUACGCGCCGUCGGUGAAGGGUCGAUUCACCAUCGCCAGGGACAACGGGCAGAGCUCGGUGACGCUGCAGAUGAACAACCUCAGGGACGAGGAUUCCGCCACCUAUUUCUGUGCCAAAGCUGGUGGUGCUGGUUGGGGGGGUGCUGAUGGCAUCGACCCCUUUGUUGGGUCCCCAAAGCUCCACCCCUCACACCCAAAUCUGAACCGAUGA